CAAGUUUUCACAAAACAAAAGAAGAAUCCCUGAGUUUUAAACAAUCUAUCUGCCCUGUCACAAUUGCUCACGUUAAGUCCCUGGUGAUGUCAUUAUCCCUCUAGUCUCUAGUCUGCUGAUGAAUCUAUCUACUCAUCUUUUAGAGGGUUGUGAGUCCAUUUGUUCAAAGGCUCCUCCUAAAUGGGCUGCUGACAAGUGCAGGGACUGCUCCGGUGAUCAAAGUCCUGCCGACUUUUUCCACGGGUGAGCUGGCCCAGCUGUGAGUGUGGUGCGGCCACCAACUCCGAUGCCAUCUUCCCAAUGUCAUGAGAUCUGCUGCAGAAAGCACACCAUGGAAGAUUUGCUAUGGGACCAGAUGGCCUGCCUCCAGUCCCUCACCUGAGGCUUUGAUGAGGAGCGCUGGGAGUAGGCUGCUGACUGCGAGGAGCACUGGGCUGACCAGGAGCAGAGGAAAGGCCAUGUCAUGCCAGCAAGAGGCAAUGUGCUCCUACCUCAUGUCUGCCAUGGAGCGCAUGGCCAUGUGUAUGCAAUGGGCCACUAGCCACCUCCCUUCCCCCCCUACUCCCAAACUCCCUGCCCAACUUCCCUGUCCCACUCCGCGCACCUGCCCCUGCUCCCACCCCCAUGGCUUCUCCUAGCCCCCCAGGUGCCACCGAGGCCCUUGAACACAUGGCGGUGGGAUCUUCUGGGCAGCCAAAGCCUCCCAAGGUACCCAAGACAGGUAUCAAUCCCAGCCCCAACCCUGAGCCACCCUCCCCCAUUCCUGGUUCUUUUUCCAGUCCCUCCCCUGUUGUAUACUCCCCCUCCCCAAUAAAAAAUGAGAAUUGUUUGUUCAAAGUCUGCGUUACUUCAUCUGGAGAGGCGGUGGGAAAGGAGGGCCAGGGAAAGGAGGAGUGGGCAAGGAAAGACACACAGGGGCAAUGCAGAGGCCCCUUGUGGAGAGGCCUGGGGGAGAGUCUCACAGGUGGCCUUGGGCUGAAGCUCUUCCUCAAGGCCUCCUGGAUGAACACAGCUACCUGAUGUGCUCUCCGUAUGCCAGUGGUGUCCGGCUGCUGGAAGCCCUGGUCAGCUGAUUAGCCUCUGCCCCCUACCCUGGCAGGAAAGUCUCCUCCUUGCUCUCACAUAUGUUGUAAAGCAUGCAACAUGCCGCCACCAUGUAAGGGAUGUUUUGACUGGCGAGAUCCAGGUGGGUGAGGAGACUUCUGAGCCUCUCCUUCAAGCGGCAAAGGCAUACUCAACCACCAUGCAGCACCUGCUGAGCCUGGCAUUGAAGUGCUCCUUGGCUGAGUCCAGGCUGCCUGUGUAGGGCUUCAUCAGCCAGGGGAGCAAGGGUAGGCUGGGUCACUGAGGAUUACGAUGGGCAUGUCCAUGUCCCCAACCCUGAGGGUGCGGUCAGGGAAAAAAGUACUGGAGUUCAUCUCUAGAACAGGCUAGAGUUCCAGAAUAUGGGGGCAUCGUGUACCUUCCCUGACCAGCUGACAUUAAUGUCCAUGGACUGGCUCUUGUUGUUCACCAGCGCCUGAAGUACAAUCGAAAAUAACCCUUCCUAUUUAUAUAGUCUGAGGCACGGUGGUUGGGGGCCAGGAUGGGGAUGUGGGUGCUGUCUAUGGCUCCCCACAGUUGGGGAAGCCCAUGGUGGCAAAGCCAGUGACAAUGGGGUAAACGUUCCCCAGGGUAACAAACCUCCACAGCAAUAUGGUGUUAAUGGCCUUGACUACCUGCAUGAGCACGGCCCCAACCAUGGAUUUCCCCAUACCAAACUAGUUCUGUACAGACAGCACGGUGAGCUUCCAGAGGGCAAUGGUGACACGCUUCUGCAGGGGGAUGGCAGGUCUCAUCUGGGUGUCCUGUCUCCUGAGGCAGGGGCGAACCACUCGUGGAGCUCCAGGAAGGUGGCCUUGCGCAUGUGGAAGUUCUGCAGC